GGUCAAAAGCCAUACCACUCUGAACGCUCCCGAUCUUGUCUAGUCUCAGAAACUAAACAGAGUCGGGCCUGGUUAGUACUUGGAUGGGAGAAAGGGAUUUGGUUUUAUGAGCC
rnacentral:rRNA from 1 species